AUACUUCCCUGGCAGGGGAGAUGCCAAGAUUAUGCGGGUGGUUAUCUCAGGGCAAGGUUUAUCCAUUGCACACCAGAUGUGCUGCCCCUUGUGAUUUUCCUGAAUGUGGGAAACUGGACUGCAUAAUUUGUGUUUGGGGGAACAGUGUUUGCACUCUCCCUAG